rnacentral:rRNA from 1 species
GACGAACGCUGGCGGCGUGCUUAACACAUGCAAGUCGAACGGAAAGGCCCUGCUUUUGUGGGGUGCUCGAGUGGCGAACGGGUGAGUAACACGCGAGUAACCUGUCCUUGACUUUGGGGUAACUUCAGGAAACUGGGGCUAAUACCGGAUAGGAGCUUCUGCUGCACGGUGGGGGUUGGAAAGUUUCGGCGGUUGGGGAUGGACUCGCGGCUUAUCGGCUUGUUGGGGGGGUAGUGGCUUACCAAGGCUUUGACGGGUAGCCGGCCUGGGAGGGUGACCGGCCACAUUGGGACUGAGGUACGGCCCAGACUCCUACGGGAGGCAGCAGUGGGGAAUAUUGCACAAUGGGCGGAAGCCUGAUGCAGCAACGCCGCGUGCGGGAUGACGGCCUUCGGGUUGUAAACCGCUUUCGCCUGUGACGAAGCGUGAGUGACGGUAAUGGGUAAAGAAGCACCGGCUAACUACGUG